GCGGUGGAGCAUGUGGUUUAAUUCGAAGCAACGCGAAGAACCUUACCAGGUCUUGACAUCCCUUUGACCACUCUAGAGAUAGAGCUUUCCCUUCGGGGACAAAGUGACAGGUGGUGCAUGGUUGUCGUCAGCUCGUGUCGUGAGAUGUUGGGUUAAGUCCCGCAACGAGCGCAACCCUUAUUACUAGUUGCCAGCAUUUAGUUGGGCACUCUAGUGAGACUGCCGGUGACAAACCGGAGGAAGGUGGGGACGACGUCAAAUCAUCAUGCCCCUUAUGACCUGGGCUACACACGUGCUACAAUGGAUGGUACAACGAGUUGCGAGACCGCGAGGUUUAGCUAAUCUCUUAAAACCAUUCUCAGUUCGGAUUGUAGGCUGCAACUCGCCUACAUGAAGCCGGAAUCGCUAGUAAUCGCGGAUCAGCAUGCCGCGGUGAAUACGUUCCCGGGCCUUGUACACACCGCCCGUCACACCAUGAGAGUUUGUAACACCCAAAGCCGGUGAGGUAACCCUUCGGGGAGCCAGCCGUCUAAGGUGGGAACU
rnacentral:rRNA from 2 species